GAAAGGCGGGCUAAACCCGCGUACAUGCCACCGGGGCAUCCCGGAGGCAGGAAAGGCUUCGGCCGGACAGGGAUGGGCAUGCGGCGCAUUAGGCAGUAGGCGGGGUAACGGCCCACCUAACCGACGAUGCGUAGGGGUUCUGAGAGGAAGGUCCCCCACACUGGUACUGAGACACGGACCAGACUCCUACGGGAGGCAGCAGUGAGGAAUAUUGGUCAAUGGUCGGGAGACUGAACCAGCCAAGCCGCGUGAGGGAUGAAGGUACAGAGUAUCGUAAACCUCUUUUGUCAGGGAACAAAGGCGGGGACGUGUCCCCGGAUGAGUGUACCUGAAGAAAAAGCAUCGGCUAACUCCGUGCCAGCAGCCGCGGUAAUACGGAGGAUGCGAGCGUUAUCCGGAUUUAUUGGGUUUGAAGGGUGCGCAGGCGGUCUGUUAAGUCAGCGGUCAAAGCCCGGGGCUCAACCCCGGCCCGCCGUUGAAACUGGCAGUCUCGAGUUGGAGAGAAGUAUGCGGAAUGCGCGGUGUAGCGGUGAAAUGCAUAGAUAUCGCGCAGAACUCCGAUUGCGAAGGCAGCAUGCCGGCUCCACACUGACGCUGAGGCACGAAAGCGUGGGUAUCGAACAGGAUUAGAUACCCUGGUAGUCC
rnacentral:rRNA from 1 species